AGUGAACGCUGGCGGUAGGCCUAACACAUGCAAGUCGAACGGCAGCACAGUAAGAGCUUGCUCUUACGGGUGGCGAGUGGCGGACGGGUGAGGAAUACAUCGGAAUCUACUUUUUCGUGGGGGAUAACGUAGGGAAACUUACGCUAAUACCGCAUACGACCUACGGGUGAAAGCAGGGGAUCUUCGGACCUUGCGCGAUUGAAUGAGCCGAUGUCGGAUUAGCUAGUUGGCGGGGUAAAGGCCCACCAAGGCGACGAUCCGUAGCUGGUCUGAGAGGAUGAUCAGCCACACUGGAACUGGAACACGGUCCAGACUCCUACGGGAGGCAGCAGUGGGGAAUAUUGGACAGUGGGCGCAAGCCUGAUCCAGCCAUACCGCGUGGGUGAAGAAGGCCUUCGGGUUGUAAAGCCCUUUUGUUGGGAAAGAAAAGCAGCAGGUUAAUACCCCGCUGUUCUGACGGUACCCAAAGAAUAAGCACCGGCUAACUUCGUG
rnacentral:rRNA from 1 species